AUUGAACGCUGGCGGCAGGCCUAACACAUGCAAGUCGAGCGGCUGAAGUGAGCUUGCUCUUGGAUUCAGCGGCGGACGGGUGUGUAAUGCCUAGGUAUAUGCCUGGUAGUACAGGAUGACGUCCGGCCGAGGGCGCUAAUAACGCAUCAUAACAGCGGGAGAAGGUGGGUGAUCUUCGGAAAUCCGCCUAUCAUCUGAGCCUAGGUCGGGUUAGCUAGGUGGUGUGGUAAAGGCCUACCAAGGCGACGAUCCGUAACUUGACUGAGCGGAAGAUCAGUCACACUGGAACUGAGACAGGGUCCAGACUCCUACGGGAGGCAGCAGUGGGGAAUAGUGGACAUUGGGCGAGAGCCUGAUCCCGCCACGGCGCGGGUGUGAAGAAGGUCUUCGGAUUGUAAAGCACUUUAAGUUGGGAGGAAGGGAAGUAAGUUAAUACCUUGCUGUUUUGACGGUACCAACAGAAUAAGCACCGGCUAACUUCGUG
rnacentral:rRNA from 1 species